AUUGAACGCUGGCGGCAGGCCUAACACAUGCAAGUCGAACGGUAACAGGAAGAAGCUUGCUUCUUUGCUGACGAGUGGCGGACGGGUGAGUAAUGUCUGGGAAACUGCCUGAUGGAGGGGGAUAACUACUGGAAACGGUAGCUAAUACCGCAUAACGUCGCAAGACCAAAGAGGGGGACCUUCGGGCCUCUUGCCAUCGGAUGUGCCCAGAUGGGAUUAGCUAGUAGGUGGGGUAACGGCUCACCUAGGCGACGAUCCCUAGCUGGUCUGAGAGGAUGACCAGCCACACUGGAACUGAGACACGGUCCAGACUCCUACGGGAGGCAGCAGUGGGGAAUAUUGCACAAUGGGCGCAAGCCUGAUGCAGCCAUGCCGCGUGUAUGAAGAAGGCCUUCGGGUUGUAAAGUACUUUCAGCGGGGAGGAAGGGAGUAAAGUUAAUACCUUUACUCAUUGACGUUACCCGCAGAAGAAGCACCGGCUAACACCGUG
rnacentral:rRNA from 1 species